AGAGUUUGAUCCUGGCUCAGAACGAACGUUGGCGGCGUGGAUUAGGCAUGCAAGUCGAACGAGAACGUCACCUUCGGGUGGCUAGUAAAGUGGCGAACGGGUGAGUAUCGCGUGGGAAACCUGCCCUCGAGUUGGGGAUAGCACUCCCAACGGAAUGCUAAUACCGAAUAAGACCACGGUGUCGCAUGGCACUGAGGUCAAAGGUGGCCUCUACUUGUAAGCUACCGCUUGAGGAUGGUCCCGCGUCCCAUUAGCUUGUUGGUAGGGUAAUGGCCUACCAAGGCUGCGAUGGGUAGCUGGUCUGAGAGGAUGGUCAGCCACACUGGGACUGAGAUACGGCCCAGACUCCUACGGGAGGCAGCAGUCGAGAGGCUUCGGCAAUGGGGGAAACCCUGACCGAGCGACGCCGCGUGGGCGAUGAAGGUCGUAAGAUUGUAAAGCCCUGUCAGGAGGGAAGAAAUGCGGGGAGUCAAACAGGCUUUCCGUUUGACGGUACCUCCAGAGGAAGCUCCGGCUAACUCCGUGCCAGCAGCCGCGGUAAUACGGAGGGAGCAAACGUUGUUCGGAAUUACUGGGCGUAAAGGGCGAGUAGGCGGGCCGGUAAGUGGAAUGUGAAAGGCCCUGGCUCAACCAGGGACGUGCAUUCCAAACUGCCAGUCUUGAGUACAGGAGAGGAUGGGGGAAUUCCCGGUGUAGCGGUGGAAUGCAUUGAUAUCGGGAGGAACACCAGUGGCGAAGGCGCCCAUCUGGCCUGAUACUGACGCUGAUUCGCGAAAGCUAGGGGAGCAAACAGGAUUAGAUACCCUGGUAGUCCUAGCCGUAAACGGUGAGCACUAGGUGUAGGAGGCAUCGACCCCUCCUGUGCCGCAGCUAACGCAUUAAGUGCUCCGCCUGGGGAGUACGACCGCAAGGUUGAAACUCAAAGGAGUUGACGGGGGCCCGCACAAGCGGUGGAGCAUGUGGUUUAAUUCGAUGCAACGCGAAGAACCUUACCCAGGUUUGACAUGCACCGGACAGGUGUGGAAACACAUUUUCCCUUCGGGGUCGGUGCACAGGUGCUGCAUGGCUGUCGUCAGCUCGUGUCGUGAGAUGUUGGGUUAAGUCCCGCAACGAGCGCAACCCUUGUCCUUAGUUGCCAUCAAGUGAAGUUGGGCACUCUAGGGAGACUGCCGUCGAUAAGGCGGAGGAAGGUGGGGAUGACGUCAAGUCCUCAUGGUCCUUACGCCUGGGGCUACACACGUGCUACAAUGGCUGGUACAAUGGGUUGCAAUGCCGCGAGGUGGAGCUAAUCUCAAAAAACCAGUCUCAGUUCGGAUUGCAGUCUGCAACUCGACUGCAUGAAGGCGGAAUCGCUAGUAAUCGCUGAUCAGCAGGCAGCGGUGAAUAUGUUCCCGGGCCUUGUACACACCGCCCGUCAAGCCACGAAAGUAGGCAGUACCCGAAGUCGCUAUCCUAACCGCAAGGAGGGAAGCGCCGAAGGUAAGGCUUGCGAUUGGGGCUAAGUCU
rnacentral:rRNA from 1 species